GGCGAAGUGCCAGAGUGGUUAAUGGGUGUGCCUCGAAUUACGUCAUCCUCUGAUGAUGCUUCCAGCACAUGGCUUCGGUCGCGCAAGUUCGAAUCUUGUCUUCGUCG